rnacentral:lncRNA from 1 species
UAGAUUAAAUCGAGCGCUCUCAAACUUCCCAUCAUUCUGACUACGGUAGUCAUUUUGUCACCCUCAUCAUGGCAAAGACACGGAGAAAUGCAUAUGAUGCAGCUUUCAAGUUGAAGGCGAUUGAUCUGGCUGUUGGAAAAGGAAAUAGAGCUGCUGCACGGGAGCUUGGUCUUAAUGAGUCGAUGAUAAGACGUUGGAAACAGCAGCGUUAGGAAUUGACUCAGUGCAAAAAGACAACUAAAGCUUACUGCUAAUUUUAAAUUUUUUGUUACAAGCCGUGUUUCGUUAAAGCCUAUUUAUUUUUAUUACAAGCCGUAUUUCGUUAAAGCCUAUUUAUUUUGUUACAAGCCGUGUUUCGUUAAAGCCUAUUUAUUUUUGUUACAAGCCGUGUUUCGUUAAAGCCUAUUUAUUUUUGUUACAAGCCGUGUUUCGUUAAAGCCUGUGUAAAGUUAAUUUGUUUCAAUGUACCGGUAGGCACCUGCGGCUUAUAGACAUGUGCGGCUUAUUUAUGUUCAAAAUCUUUUCUUUUUUUUUAAUUCAGUGGGUGCGGCUUAUAUUCAGGUGCGCUUAAUAGUCCGGAAAUUACGGUACACAUUUUAUUAUCGUUCUGCUUACUCCAGACCAGGCCCUAAUCCCCUGGACUCAAAAGAGGAAGUGGAAGUGAAAGAGAGGCAGGUGAGGCGGCAUCCUGACGAGAUUAGCCCUUACAGAAUUACCCACCAAACCAGGACCAAGCAGCGGAGGAGGAAGGAGCAACAGGAGAACAGCUUGAUGGACUCGUGGACAUGGGAACAGAUACUGGACGGAGAGGGACCAUGGACUCAGGCUGGGGAGUAUCGCCUCCCGCAGUGGGAGAUUGAAGCGGCGAGAGCGGAGAGGCGAUAUUACGAGGAGAGAGAGCGCAACGAGCACGAGAGGCAGCCCCAAUAAUUUUUUUGGUGGGGCACACGGAACAGUUGGCGGAGCCGAGGUCGGAACCAGAGCCAGUCGGGUUGACAUUGGAGGUGAGCGAGGGGUACGAGGCAGAGACUGUGAAGGAGUUAAUGGGG